UACGAAGGGGGCUAGCGUUGUCCGGAAUUAUUGGGCGUAAAGAGCUCGUAGGCGGUGUGUCACGUCGGCCGUGAAAACCUGCAGCUUAACUGUGGGCGUGCGGUCGAUACGGGCAUCACUGGAGUUCGGCAGGGGAGACUGGAAUUCCUGGUGUAGCGGUGAAAUGCGCAGAUAUCAGGAGGAACACCGGUGGCGAAGGCGGGUCUCUGGGCCGAUACUGACGCUGAGGAGCGAAAGCGUGGGGAGCAAACAGG
rnacentral:rRNA from 1 species